rnacentral:rRNA from 1 species
AUUGAACGCUGGCGGCAGGCUUAACACAUGCAAGUCGAGCGGAGAGAGGUAGCUUGCUACUGAUCUUAGCGGCGGACGGGUGAGUAAUGCUUAGGAAUCUGCCUAUUAGUGGGGGACAACAUUUCGAAAGGAAUGCUAAUACCGCAUACGUCCUACGGGAGAAAGCAGGGGAUCUUCGGACCUUGCGCUAAUAGAUGAGCCUAAGUCGGAUUAGCUAGUUGGUGGGGUAAAGGCCUACCAAGGCGACGAUCUGUAGCGGGUCGGAGAGGAGGAUCCGGCACACUGGGACUGAGACACGGCACAGUCUCCUACGGGAGGCAGCAGUGGGGAAUAUUGGACAAUGGGCGGAAGCCUGAUCCAGCCAUGCCGCGUGUGUGAAGAAGGCCUUAUGGUUGUAAAGCACUUUAAGCGAGGAGGAGGCUACUUUAGUUAAUACCUAGAGAUAGUGGACGUUACUCGCAGAAUAAGCACCGGCUAACUCUGUGCCAGCCGCCGCUGUAA